UGGGAAAGGAUCUUUUUCUGAAGAUUCCUUUGUUUGGAGUUUUUCCACUGAGCCCAGGAUAAGGGGAAGAAGUAGUCAAGCAGAAGUAUCAACUCUUCACAGCUUACUUUCAUAUGCACAGCCUAAUGGGUGAGCUUCAAAGCUUGGGCUCAUUCAUUCCUCUCCAUGGAAGCACAAGUGUGCUGCAGAAGACAUCUAGAAAACUGUGGCUGUGUUGGAACAGAGGUGGUAUA